UCUAUUACUGUUAAAAGCCUCCUCCGCCACUUCUAUUUCCCCUUUCUUAAACUCCCCUUAUCUUUCAUCUCAUCAUUCUUUACAUGAUUCCUCUUAUUUAUCUAUUAUCCCACUCUCUUAAUUUCAGUUCAAAAGAAAAAAACCAUCUAUAUAUAAACCAUACAAUAAUUUCCAUAAAAAAACAUAUACUCAUUUAUGAGUAAUAGCAUUAUAAGAUAAUUGUUCAUGCUUGGAUCAACGACUACGGCAACGGUUUAGAAUUGGCCGAAAUGCAGCAAGAGACGUAAACUCCAGAAGAUGGAAAUUAUUCCAUUAUCAAGGAUUUCAAGGAUUUUGGAAAAUGUAAUUUUAUAAUUUAGUAAUUUGGAUUUGGACUGCUAUAAAUGUGGUUGUAGUUGAUUGAUUAACCAGUGUAAUAUUGGAUCUUUAUGUCUAAUGGAGUAAAUUUUAUCAUAUUCAA